AACGAACGCUGGCGGCAUGCCUAACACAUGCAAGUCGAACGAGACCUUCGGGUCUAGUGGCGCACGGGUGCGUAGCGCGUGGGAACCUGCCCUUAGGUUCGGAAUAACUCCCCGAAAGGGGUGCUAAUACCGGAUAAUGUCUUCGGACCAAAGAUUUAUCGCCUUUGGAUGGGCCCGCGUUGGAUUAGCUAGUUGGUAGGGUAAAAGCCUACCAAGGCGACGAUCCAUAGCUGGUCUGAGAGGAUGAUCAGCCACACUGGGACUGAGACACGGCCCAGACUCCUACGGGAGGCAGCAGUGGGGAAUAUUGGACAAUGGGCGAAAGCCUGGUCCAGCAAUGCCGCGUGAGUGAUGAAGGCCUUAGGGUUGUAAAGCUCUUUUACCCGGGAUGAUAAUGACAGUACCGGGAGAAUAAGCUCCGGCUAACUCCGUG
rnacentral:rRNA from 1 species